rnacentral:lncRNA from 1 species
GUCAAUACUCCUUUAUUGCCAGAAUUCUGAGAGCAGCACCUUUUCUCUUGCAUUGUCUUUCUCCCAUCUCAUGUCAUUCUGUUGGGAAUGCUAAUCACAGUCACACAUCCUCUGCACCUCCAAGCAUCAGUGUGACCAUGUGAGCACAACCCCACCUCUGGAAUCAGACAAGCAUUUCACAGGACUAAAGUGAGGAUAAUCAAGUCACAUGCUCAGAACUGGCCAGAGUUUUUCAGUUUCAAGUGACAAAAUCUCCAACCCCCAAAAUAGAACACAUAGGCCUAUGUAAACUGAAAACCAAGAGUAGAUUUACUUCCAAAAGAGUCAAAUCAAGGACUUUGAGGAUGUGGUCAGGUAUGGGUCUCUCUCCAUGGACUCCUUGUCCUUUCCUUCACCCCCAUAUCCAGGUCUCUGCAUUUGUCCGCGUUCUUCACUGUCAUGUGGCUCCUCCCGAUGUGAUAGCAAAGAUGCCCGUGGACAAACCAGGCUUGGGUCCAUCAUGUUGGCAAUCUGGAGGAAGCCGAGCACUUUUUCUCCAACUGACUCAGUCCCAGGACUGGCUCUCAUUUGCCCAGCUUGUGCAGAAUCUCAUUGUCCUAAUGUUAAAUAUAUAUCAUCAGUGCUCAAUGUUACAGCUUCAAACAUAGAAGAUACAAGAAGUAAAUGCUGAGAUUUCGCUAUUUGUUAACCUAUCAUGUGAUGAACCUAUACAAAUUGUGUAAAGCAAAUGUUUUCAGGCAUUGGAUGUCAAGCAGCACAGGACUAUCAACCUGAAGGAAAGAGAAUCACACAAGAUGAGCCUCAUAUUUAUCCUGGCUUUCCGCUUCGGAGCACUCUCUCAACUUCAACACAGAGAAGUGAAACCCAAGUGAAAGAGUAUUGCUAAACCAAGGAGGCAGACCUCAUGUUUGUUCAAGAGUACCCAAGAGAUAGGAUCUGUAAGAGGCACACAGGACCACAUUUGUUCUACCACGCUAUGCUGAAUAUGAGGCAAAAGUUAACACCUGGAAAUUUUGCUAUCCUGAAAUGAGGCAGUGCAUUGUGGAGAAAAAAAGAAUGGACUCUUCUAUUAAAUGAACGAUAAGAAAGAAGACUGCAAGUUGAGAAAUCACAUCUCCAAGACUCAAAGGGUCCUGUCAUGUGGAAAUGCAGAUCUGCUCUCCCAGCAAGCCUGGUUGGGCAUCCUCAAUCUUCUGCUUCCAAGCUGUGUGACCUCGGGUAAGUCACUUGGCAUCUCUGAGCCUCAGUCCCCAAUUGUGUGAUGGGAACAUAACAGUGCCUAAGUGAGGGAGUGAGUCUGGGGACUGAAG